AGGAAACAAGGUGUAUGCGAGCUUUUAGCGCGCUACUACACCUGUAUCGGGCCGAGUACAAAUACAGCUGAUAUUUAAAGACACUAGACAGUUAUUGUCUUUAUCCUGUAAUUAAUUCUGUAUAUUGUUUGUGUUUUGAAAGACACAAAAACUAACAUAUUUAGCAUUUAUUUUCGAUUUGUAAUCCCUUGAGGCCCGCGUAGUAAUAUCAAAAUCACACAUUACGCUGAAGACGGGUUCGCAAAAAAGAAUCUCGAAUGGUCAACAAUAAUACAUCGCUCAAGGUGAAUAAUUAUCUAUUUUAACACAACAACUAAUUUCAACAGUAAAAACAAAUAACAAAACAUUGUCAAAUUUGAAACAGAAGUGUACGAGUUGUUCUACGCUUCAGACUUGACAUUCACUAAACAUGCAUGCUGAAA
rnacentral:lncRNA from 1 species